CCACUAAAGAAAUGGUUUACCUCAGUUUGCUUAUUUCCUUGAAAGUCAAAUAUUUCCUCAUUUUCUAGGUUCUGCUGUUGUAGAAUAAUGCAGAAGUUUGUUUCCUAAAGUCUUAUAAAUAGAAACCCAUUUGUUCCUCAGAAAACAAUAACAGAAAAUGAUCCAUAUUGUGAAAACAUAUUGUUGAGGAAGUGCGACUGUUAGAAUGUGGCAUCUAUUCAGAUUUUUUUACAAACCAAUUUACUUUGGUUUAGUGAUGGAGUUAUCAAGAUUAGUUCAAACUGAUUGCUGUAAAGAGGGUAGUUUUUGUAUUGCUUGGCAUAUGCCCUUGUCACGCUGUGUAUAGCUACUUUGACUAUUGGGGGAAAGGAACAAUGGUCACAGUCUCAUCAGCAGCCACAGCCCCCCCUACUCUACUCACUCUUAUGAACUGUGGAACCCCUUCUAACGACAUCUACAGUCUCGGUUGUAUCGCUAAAGGCUUCUCGCCUUCCUCACACACCUUCAAAUGGACAGACGCCAGUGGGAAAGCGCUGACGGACUUCAUCCAAUACCCAGCAGUCCAGAGCGGGGAAACCUACACAGGAGUCAGUCAGCUCCGCGUGGCUAAGAAUGUCUGGGGAAACUCUAAGUCUUUCAGUUGUUCUGUGGAUCAUCCUGGAGGUGCGAAGACAGCAGUCAUCAAUAGACCAAUCUCAAAGCUUCCAACAGUGUCUUUGCUGUCUGCGCCCAUUGGCACCACCCAGUACCUGAUGUGUAUGAUUGAAGAUUUCACCCCCAAGAAAGUCACUGUCACCUGGAAGAAGAAUGACAUGGAGGUGGAGGGCCAGACCCCUACUGUAGGCCAACAGCCAUCAGGCCUCUACUCAGCCAGCAGUCUGCUGAAGGUCACCAACACUGACUGGAACAACAAGGUCAAGUACAGCUGUGUGGUGGAGCACCAGGGACAACCCACCACCGAGACGAUCUCCAAAACAGAACCACUGACGGUGACUCUGAACCCACCGAGUGUGAAAGAGGUGUUCUUGGACAACCAAGCGGUGCUGGACUGUGUCAUCAGUGGUACAGACCAGGACACAGUGUCUGGUACCAACAUCACCUGGCAGGUCAACGGACAGGCCAAGACGAGAGGCAUCAUUAUGAAACCUAUUGAAUCAAAGGGCAACCUGAACAGCAGGGUCAGUACUCUGACCAUAGACCAGACAGAGUGGACCAAUGUGAACAAAGUCCAGUGUUCUGCCAUGAAGAGAGGUGAAGACACACCGGUCAUUCAGGACAUCAGCUUCACUAAAGGAAGUGAAGCCCCUUCAGUGUCCGUCCACCUUCUCCCAGAGGAAGACACCAAGAAGGAGGGGGAAGUGACUCUGGUGUGCCUGGUGGUCUGCCCAUCUCUAUGUGACGUCUACAUCAUGUGGCAGGUGAACAGCAGCCAGUACCAGGAAGGGGUCACCAGCCCUCCCCAGAAAACCAAGAAAGGCAACUACUUCGUCACCAGCGUCUUCACCACUGCCAAGGAUAAGUGGGACACAAAUGUGCUUUUCACAUGCGCCGUCAAGCAUGCUGGCUUGGACAACAGCACCUCACCUAAGGAGAUGAGUGUGUCGAAGUCCAUGGCAAACAUCCUACUGACUGAGCCUGAGGCGGGCUUCGCUCUAAGCUGCACGGAUAACUUUGAGGAUGAGUUCAGCAGCCUGUGGUCCACCACCUCCUCCUUUAUCAUCCUCUUCCUUCUCUCUCUCACCUACAGCACAGUGCUUAGCCUGGUCAAGAUGAAGCAGUGAAGAACACAUGAUGGACUGCAGAGAUAGAUGGGUCUAGAUUAGAAAGAUAAUGGCCUGAGAUGGUUAUGGAGUAUAGUAGUGUUCUUCAGUAAUAAUGUUAUGUAUAUAUCCAAUACAGUAUUGAUUAUGAUUGAUUAGUAUUGUUGUUCUCAAUAUUAUACAAGCAUUGUGGUGAUAUGUUAUUUUUCAUUCAUUGGUUCAUUUUGUACAGUAUCUUUAAAUAUAAGUGUAUACUGUGAUGUCUGUGUGUCCUUUUUCACUUUAAGUUGCUGUCUUUCUUUUUACAUCCACUGGAUGCUAAUGCCGGGAGAAGGACACAUCCUAUAUACAAAGACAUUACUGAUUUGAGUGUUUCUGCUUGGCAGUUAUCUAUGUAGCCAAUAUACAGCUGUAUUCCCUCCCAGUACAGAUUAAAACAACGUUAGGCUAUAUCUGUAAUAUUUAACUAAGACUUCAACAUUCUGUUAUCAGUUGAUCUGAGGUGGUUUCUUGGUUCUCUAACUUGUCUAAUAAUAGUGUCAUGCAAAAGCAGCUUCCUCUCUCUUUAUCCCCUUGAUACCACACCUGUGGCACUGAAACUGUCCAGCAACUGCCAGGGCCACAAAUACACUUCCUUAAAAGAAGAGAAACACUGCAUGUACGAUAGCAACGCACGCACGCAUGCACACAGAAAUAUACAGUAUAUAUAUUGAGCUACAAAAGUAUUGGGACAGAGACACAUUUUUGGUGGAUUUGGCUUUGAAUUCCAGCACUUUGGAUUUGAAAUGAUUCUAUGACUAUGAGGUUAAAAUGCAGUCAACAUUAAUACGAGGUAAUUUUCAUCUAUAUCUGGUGACACUUUUUAGAAAUUCCAGCACUUUCUGUAUAUUGUCCCCCAAUUUUACAAAUCCACUUAUUAUACUGUAUGCGUAUUAAAGUUGUCAAAAGUUUAGUAAUUGUUCCCAAAUUCCGAGCACACAAUAAUUACAUUAAGCUUGUGAAUCUACAAAUUUGUUAGAUGCAUUUUUUCCACAAUUUCCAAUAGGUUGGAAUGAUCUUCUAUGUCAUAAAAGUCAUGCAUUUAAUUCAAACAUCGGACUGCCAAAUGGUGAAGCAUGAUUCAUCACUCCAGAGAACAUGUUUCCAUUGCUCCAAUGGUGGCGAGCUUUACACCACUCCAGCCAACGCUUGGUGAUCUUAGGCUUGUGUGUGACUGCUCGGCCAUGGAAACCCAUUUCUUGAAGAUCCUGAUGAACAGUUCUUGUGCAGACAUUGCUUCCAGAGACAGUUUGGUACUCGGUAGUGAGUGUUGCAACCGAGGACAGAUCAAUUUUUCACACGCUCUGCGCUUUUGCACUUGGCGGCCCAAUUCUGUGAGCUUGUGUGGCCUACCACUUCAGGGCUGAGCCGUUGCUCCAAGAUGUAUCCACUUCAAAUCAAAUCAUACUUAUUUUCCCCCAUAAUUUGCAAAUAAAUUCAUUAAAAAUCCUA